CCCGCGUGGCCGAGCUGCGAGCCAGCCUGUACGAGGGCUACGAACCCGCGCAGGCCGAGCCCACCAAGAAGGACGCGGACGUGGAGGCCGCCAAGCCGGAGGAGGUCGUCGAGGACGAGAUGACGGCCAACUUCCAGCGAAAGCAACUCGCGGCCAUGAUGAAGCGCCAGGAGACCGUGCAGAGCGUGGACUCGUUCGCAUCCCACGACGACGACUUCGCUGAGUACGGCGACGAGAGCAUGGCCAUUGACCUGCUCAGCUCGGUAUCGCUGGUAACGAACCCGAGACACCAAAGGCCUCCUCCGGCGCCGCGCACCUAAGACACCUGCCAGGUCGCUUCACCGACGACGGAUCCCUCAUCCACCAGCGAGUGUGAGGGGCGCCGACGCCGCCGGAGCUCGGAGCGCGCGCCGACGCCGAGGACGACCCCGCCGUGACAUCCAGCUCGGCUUCAGACUUCUUCUCAGAGACAAAUUCCUAUCGCCAGAGUUGCGGCGCCUCUCUCACGCCACCACAGUCCUGUCAUCAUCAGCCAUCUCUCAUCGCCAUCGCUGUUGUGUCAUCACGAGAUCAGAGCCACUCGGCGCGGUAGGAUCAUGCGAUAUGGCUUCCCGGGCUUCCUCUUCAUUGACUCUGUAUCCAUGAUGUCUUGUCGUGAACUCGUGUGUCCGAGUUCGUAUUAUUCCGAGGGAUAUGCGUCUGGGGAAAAUGUAUGUAAGUGUGUAUGUGUGUGCAUUGGUGUACAUACGUGUACACGCAUGCGCAUGCACAACACUAACAUGCGUAUAGACCAAUGCACUUUCCAUUUUUUCUGAUAUUUAAAAGCAGCGUUUCAUAUACUAGCUAUUUCUCCUCGGCAGUCACUAUGAAGACAUGAGUCAUCGCAUCUCUGCCGUGCCCGGAAUACCCCAAAUAACGCCCAGUCUUUGUCUAGGCUGUCACGUCACUGACUGUUGAACUGCGUCUCCCUGUUCAGAUGAGUCUAUAUGAUGCUUUAAACAAGAGAAAUAGUUGUUCAGGAAGUGAAGAGUUUGUCACAGAACAGAAGUCGGUCCUUCGUUUGAGAGAACGAGCAAAAUUUUUAGAGCGCUAGUUACUUGGCAAAGCGGGACUAAUGACUUCCUUGGACUGGUCGAUGGACCGAGAUGGUGUAUGUCAUAUUACUUGGUGUUAUUCUAUAUCAGAACAUGUUUGCUGGUGUUCCUGUAGGUACAACUGCCCCACGUAGACGCCCCUGAAGCAUGCGGAACACAGCCAGUGGGCGGCCUGGUCGGUCUCCGCAGCCCUUGCCAUAGGCUGACAAACCAACAAAGGGAAUCUGUAAAAAGAACGGCGGAGCUGCCUUACAGAGCUCGCUCACUUGCCGAGCGACGUCUUGUUCUACUUUUUCCCGCUAAAUGUUCUGGUGAAGAGAACAAAUGCAUUUGGGAAACAACCCUAGAAUGUUUCAAUGUUAUUUCCAUUUUGCAAAUUCGAAUUUGAUUUUUAUAUAACAAAACAAUAUAAGCUACGCAACAAAUAUAUUAGUUUAUUAAAGAAAGAUAAAUGAAAAUAUAUAUAUAUAUAUACAUAACAAAACUUGUCUAGUACUUAGUGCCUUUUGCGUGGCGUCACACACCAUCUAGUAGUAUUACACUACUGAAAUAGUCAUAUGAAUUAAGGCUUCUGCUUAGCCUUAAAAUGUCUAAACCUAAGUGAUGGCCAUUUAAAAUGCCUGCAACUUGCACUGAGGUCUGACCCGUCAUCUCACAUACAUGUCAAGUGAGCAGCCACAUGUCAUAUGACUUUUUGCGCGCCAUCUGUGUUAUGUGUAACCUCGUCGAAAGUAGUUUCAUCUGUUUCCCGUCACCUCUCGGGGUCUUCAGCAUUCUAGUGUCAGGCAGUGAGCAUGCGGCCAGAGCUCUCGCUCGAGGCAGACGACUCGAGGAGGAGCUCUCCACGGCUGCACGUGUGCCCUCAGGAUUCGAGGCGCCCGGCCUUGCCCAUGGCAUGAACUCAUCAUGGAAACGAUACUGGAGAAGUGACUCAUCCUGUGCGUAACGUUAUAAAAGCCAGUCCUGUGAAUACUGUUAUUAAAGUGGUUGUCUUCUGUGCAACAUUUUUCAGAUUUUAUAUUUGUGUACAGCGCUAAGAUCUUACUGGUUAUCAGUCUUGUUUGAAGAUGGUGACUGGCUCUUUCGGAAUUUCAGGCCCGACCUUGCUUUUAGCUGCAAAGAGGCACUUUGCAGCUUAUAAGGUACUCUUCCUGAAAAGUAUGUUGAGGAGGUAGCGUGCUGCAGCUCCGAUAAGUAUAGUGUUGUUAAAGAUAUGAUUAUUUCAGUGUCAGCGUCUGUACUCAAAACUUCAUUCAUACAAAGUAUUCUGUUAGACCUCGUGCUGGUUACAGGUAUUGUUCUCUGAAAGUUCUUAUAUGUAUUUUUUUUAAUCCCGUGCUGAACCUUGUAAAGUUGAUACUUGUGUUGGAACUGUAAACCACUGAUAACUUAUUUGUGUAAUGUUGGUCUUCCGUGAAACUUCCUUUUAAAAGGAUAUAUCAAUGCUGACAUACGGACAUAGCGUUAAUAUCUAUUUUCCCUGUAGCAGUGUGUGUCUGGACAAGAUGAAGAUGAUGUUGUGAGGCCGCGGCUGUUGUGUGCCACGCCGGCUGAUCCAUUCAGUUCCCGUGAAUGUGUAAAGAAAUGUUAUUCAUUACGUAAAUGUGUGUUCUCACAUGUAUGUCAUGCCUGUGUACAAGACUACAGUAAACUGAUCCCAACAAUUUCUUUGCAUUACAAACAUUAUAAUCCUAUUUCAAUGUCAUGUACUGGGAGCUUGUACUUGCAUAACUCUACGUACGCUGUACAAAAGAUGCAUGUAAUUUUGUACAUACAUGUAGAUAUACUUGUGAAUAUAUAUGAAGUGUAUCUGUAGAUGUAUGAGGUACAUGUUUACGCAUGCCAGAAGUGAAUUUUCUUAAGGAAGAGAUUAUUAGGAUAGAAAAUAUUACUAGUGAAUUUACAAUAACAUGAACAUUUUUAAAAGAAAAUAUAAAAGAAGAUCCAAAGUCCAG